rnacentral:tRNA from 2 species
GCUCCCUUCGUCUAGCGGUCCAGGACGCCGCCCUCUCACGGCGGAAACAGGGGUUCGAUUCCCCUAGGGAGCGCCA